AGAAAUUUAACCUAAAAAAGUCUUCUUUAAGAAGAAAAAAGAUGUGUGAGCCAAUAUGCAUUUCUUGUAUUCUGAUCUUAAAGUGUUUUCAUAUACCGCCAUCACAAAAUGUGGCCCAAAAUUUAUAACUCAAAAGAGUUGAUCAAUAAGAAUUUUUUUAUAUGCAUGUGGUAAAAUUUUAAGUAGCAAUAAUGGAGCUUACGAGCUUUUACCAACAUUUAAAUGAGGGGAACUUUUUGCAGUAUUCUGCAGUUCCGCAUGAGUUAUACACAGUAUUUAAUCUAUUGAAAUUUAAAAUAUGCUGUAAACAGCAGAUUGCUUUUCUAAAACUUCCAUAUAUUAUGUGAAAUGCAGUUUAAGAAGAAAGUCUGACCUCUGUAAGUUAAGUUCUUACAAAGGACAAUUAGCCAGAGUCAAUGAAGAGUCCCUAUGAAGAAUUGUUAAUCACUGGAUGAUCAUCUGACUAUUCCAAGACAAUGUUUGAUCUCAUUUUGAGGAGGACCAUCAUUAGUGCAAGUCUUUAGGAUCUCCUUUGUUGUUAAAAAAAAAAAAAAAAAAAAAAUCUCUUGGGCCGGGGAUUUAGCUCAGUGGUUCUGCUGCCUUCCUCUCAAGCACAAGGUCCCGAAUUCGAUUCCCAGUACCCCCAAAAAAGAUCUGCUAAAGUACGUAAAUUUAAAGUAGGUUAAAUUAAAAUUUUAGGCAGGUUCAUUUAUGUUAUGUAUUAGGCCAUUUUCUUUCCUUUCACUUCUAAAUAUUUCACUUUCUGAAUACUGAAGCCCUUCUGGCUCAGAGUGAAAUAACUUAAUUAUCAGCAAUAGAUUGAUUCCAAGUGGAGAACUUAUUGUUUCCUUAAAAUGGCUCUUUCUCAUCUGUGAUGGUGAAUAUUUAUAAGUAUCCAGGUAGAGCGAUAUUGGUUCCUGAAAUGCCACAAAAUCCUUUAAGUAGUCAUGUUUAUAAUUUAGUGGCUAAAGCAUUCUUGAACUGUUUGUGGGGAGACAGCAAGAAUCACUCAGCAUAAUGUUUUGAUGACCAAAAAGGCUCACACCUGGGAGAUUAACUUGUCUUUAAUGCAAAAAUACUCUGCCACAUAUUCCUUAUUGAUUUCUUAGAAGUAUGACAUGUUUUCCAGAACCAUACUGAAUUUUCCUGAUUUCUGAUGGAGAAUUUGACAUACCAAGCAGUCUAUUCUUUCAUCCCAUUAUUUUAAAUAUAUUCAGCUUCUGUACAGCUUGUCUCUGCUUGAGAAAGCUUACCCUGUGAUACACGUAUGUACUUUGGAAGAAAAGAGCAAUCCAUGUGUUAAACAAAAUAAUUGUAUGUGAAGUAAACAAAGCCAGCAAUUUAAAAAAUUUCAGUGCCUAAUAAAGAUAAUUAUAGCUACAUUUGUUUGACUUAAGUCCCAUGCACUAUGCUAAGUUCUUUACAUAUUAUUUGAUUCCAAAGCAGCCCUAGGAUUUGGGUACCGUUAUUUCCAUUUGAUAGGUGAAAAACCUAAGACACAAACAGGAAAGUAGACCUGUCAAGGUGUAUAGCUGAUAAAAAGCUCAGGUCUAAAAUCUUAGUCUUUCUCAUUCACUCUUAUGUUCCAUUUAUUAUUUUCUUUAUGUAACAUUAAAUAGGUUCUUUACUUUGUUUUAUGUAUUCAAUGUGUGGCC
rnacentral:lncRNA from 1 species